ensembl:lncRNA
UUUUAGUCCACAAAUAUGUAAGUUGUAUAGUUUUGUUUAAAAUCUUAAUAUUAACCUUACAGAUAACUAAACAUAACAUAUAAGGUUCUCGCUUCCUAUAAGACAUUAUCUUGAUAAGUAAAUGUAAUAAUUUCGACGAGGGAAUGACGGCAAUGACAUUGUGACAUUUACGCGGCGGCUUCCUGAAGAAAGGCACACCAAAGACUGAACCCGUGCGUUGACAUUGUGUCGCAUUGCGUUGACAUUGUGUGGCACUGUGUACUCUCAUGAGUUUGCGUUAGGCAUAUUGUCAUACCUCAUCGGUCAUCAUCUCUCAUCGGUCUUGUGUAUGUCCUCAGACAGAGCUGGGCCGCGUUGUCCCUUUGGAUUAAGAGGAGCGAUAGGAUGCCCCUGACUAAUGUGCCAGUCUUUGUCAGGUUCCCUCAGUCCUCUGAGUCUCCUCGCUAACAAAUCCUCAUAGCCCCGGGGGCAGACACGCAUGUCUGAUGUAUCUCUGCCAGUGACAUCCAGGCCCUCCUACCAUUAUCUGCUAAUUGACAAGCCCUAUCAGGCUGCUGGUGGUCGUGGCUAAACAGUGUGUGAAAGCUUAGGUGAGGUGGCGGCGGUGGGGAAAUGCCACUCACUGCGGGAUUAUCGGUGCCAACAACGUAGCAAUAAUCUGACCUGGCUGCGGCUAGCUGGUGGCUAACACCCGGUUUCAGGGAAAUCACACGCACUCGCGCACAAUGCAUGUGCCCUUGUUGCUUAUUUUUCUGGCGCCUCCCAUUUCCCCUGUCUGAUCAUUUCAUACUCCGCCGUGACUUUUAGUGAUUCAUUAAGGGUCCGGAUAGGAUAGGUGUGAGAAUGGCCGUUCACACACACACACACACGCGCGCGCACGUAAACACACCCUGCAGGUUCCGUUGUUGUUCACUGUCCUGCCAGAGUGCCUGGAGGCUACCUACCUGCCCUGUCUCAGUCAUGCUCAGCACCCUGAAGUCGUAAUCUUCUGAACCACUGAAAAAGAUAACGCCAGAGCCAGCAGCCCGGCGUUCCAGCUAAGAUUUUACUGUCAACAUGGAAACGGGGCCAUUAACUUCUGAAACCUUCACUGGCAAAGCUAACUGUCCCCACCACUGCCAUCAAAAAGUCAUUUCGCCUUAUGAGUCCCACACACGGCCUGACAAUGGGAGCAGAGGAUUAGAAAGGCCCUCUGUCUCAGAGCAAAGUUAGAAGAAAAAAUGAAAUCUGUUCCAAUCACUGGAGAGGAGUUGGACUAGCCGGACACAUUUCUUCCUCUGGAUUUUUCCUGACGUGAUUCCCAUGAGGCGGUUUGGCUUUCACGCUCAUCAGACAACGUGUGGCAAUGUAAUCAGAUCGUUGGAUUGUUCGGCUGUUGGAUGGUUAUAUCUGCUCUCUAUUGUGGAGAAAUCUUCAAAGUGAGGAAACCCACUGGGGGAUGUUGCUAGUUGAUAAUUAAUGCAGUCGACUGCAUUGCCGGUUUUAGUUUCUGACAUUCAAGAUGAGAAAAUGAAACAUUUCUGCUUUGAAUCUAGCAACAGGCAUGUCCAAAUGUCUAACCGAAUCUCCAAAACGCUUCCUAAAUUAAAAAAAUAAAUAAAUUGGAUCUUCAUUAGCGUUCAUGUGUUUCAAGUUGACAUUGCUCCCUAUGGUUUUGUUUUAUAUUUGUAUUCAUACCCCAAUCGUUUGUAUUUCCAGAAAUGUUAUUUGUUUUUCUAAAAUUAGUUUAUCC